GGGGCGAUAGCUCAGAUGGCCAGAGCGCCGCGUUCGCAAUGCGGAGGUCGAGGGUUCGACUCCCUUUCGCUCCA
rnacentral:tRNA from 1 species